GUGUCUUAUAGAGAAUUUGGACCAACUAUAUCACACAAUUUCGUGGAGAUUAUAUGCUCGGCUCCCUCUCUAAAGGAGGUUAGACUUUUUAAAGCAUCCAUCCACAGUGACUUUUACGCAGUUCUUGCUAAAGAAGGAAACAAGUCCAAGGUCGAAAUCCUCAAGCUACUUAAUGUUAGGUGUCAAACACCAGCCUCUUCACAUCACCUAGCAGAGGCUUUGGGCUCCAUGCCAAGCCUGACUAACCUGACACUAAGUGGAAAGGAUUUAAAGGAGGAGUUCUAUUCUACACUGAAUGCAAAGGCGUCAACCAUGCAGCUCCUAACUCUCCAACUUCAACAUGUUGGCUGCCCAACAUCAGCCUCUUCACAUCACCUAGCAUCAGCGUUGUGCUCCAUGCCAAGCCUGACUGACCUGACACUACAGGGAAAGGAUUUCCAGGAGGAGUUCUUUUCUACACUGAAUGCGAAGGCAUCAACC